rnacentral:tRNA from 1 species
GCCAGAGUAGCGCAGUGGGUAGCGCGGCGGGCGCCCCGGAGAAAUUCUCCGACAAGAAAGCAGGUCGCAGGUUCGAAUCCUGCCUCUGGCACAA